UACGAAGGGGGCUAGCGUUGCUCGGAAUCACUGGGCGUAAAGCGUGCGCAGGCGGUUUUGUAAGCCGGAUGUGAAAUCCCCGGGCUUAACCUGGGAAUGGCAUUCGGGACUGCAAGGCUGGAGUGCGGCAGAGGAGACUGGAAUUCCUGGUGUAGCAGUGAAAUGCGUAGAUAUCAGGAGGAACACCGAUGGCGAAGGCAGGUCUCUGGGCUGACACUGACGCUCAUGCACGAAAGCGUGGGGAGCAAACAGG
rnacentral:rRNA from 1 species